rnacentral:misc_RNA from 1 species
GUACAUCUUCCAUCGUUCAAAGAUAAAACAUCUAAACCAAACAUCAUCCCCCAAUCACGAGAUCAGGUUUUAUUUUGGCGCUUAAUUAGCAAACCCCUUACAUAUUGAUAACCCUAAUUAAUUAAUUAAUCAACCAGGUCACUACAGUACCGUGUCGAUGCAUAGUGCAAACCUUACAUCUCCUCAACCCUAGCAUCCACUCACCAUUACUCAAUCUACUCAAAAGCCACUCCCUUGUUGGCUUCCUCACUUUCCACCUUGUCCUCCACUACUGCUUCUUUGAUUUCUUCAACAGCAGCCGCUGCAGGCUCUUCAACAGUGGUCACAUUGGUCUCUAAUGGCUCAUCAACCUUCACCUUUGUAGUAACAUCUUCAGCCUGCACCUCAAUCUUCUCAGCUGCUGGUUCUGCUGCCUCUUCUACCACCUCCUUUGGUUCCUCAUCUUUGGUGGUCACAGCUUCUUGCACCUCUACCACUUUUGCUGAUUCUUCAUCUUUGGAGCUCUCGGAUUCUUGCACAUCUACCGCUUCAGUUGAUUCUUCCUCUUUGGCGGUCUUAGCUGCUUCUUGUACUUCCUCUACUUCCUUUGAUUCUUCUUCUUUCGUGGUCUCAGUUUCUUGCACCACUGGUUCUUCAGUUAUGGACGGUUCCUCUGGUGUUGCUUCUUCUAUUGCUGCAGCUUCCACUUCGAUGUCCUUGGUUACCACAGGUAACUCUUGUUGGACCUCUGUGGCCUCAACUGGCAGAGCGGAUGUUGCAGAUUCAACCUCAACUGUGGCCAUUGAAUCACAAGGGAGAGAGA